UGAACAGGAAAACAUGACUUCCCUGUCUAGC
rnacentral:piRNA from 1 species